rnacentral:rRNA from 1 species
UACGAAGGGGGCUAGCGUUGCUCGGAAUCACUGGGCGUAAAGCGCACGUAGGCGGACUCUUAAGUCGGUGGCGAAAUCCUGGAGCUCAACUCCAGAACUGCCUUCGAUACUGAGAGUCUCGAGUCCGGGAGAGGUGAGUGGAACUGCGAGUGUAGAGGUGAAAUUCGUAGAUAUUCGCAAGAACACCAGUGGCGAAGGCGGCUCACUGGCCCGGUACUGACGCUGAGGUGCGAAAGCGUGGGGAGCAAACA